UACAGAGGUCUCAAGCGUUGUUCGGAUUCAUUGGGCGUAAAGGGUGCGUAGGCGGCGCGGUAAGUCGGGUGUGAAAUCUUGGAGCUUAACUCCGAAACUGCAUUCGAUACUGCUUUGCUUGAGGACUGGAGAGGAGAUUGGAAUUCACGGUGUAGCAGUGAAAUGCGUAGAUAUCGUGAGGAAGACCAGUGGCGAAGGCGGAUCUCUGGACAGUUCCUGACGCUGAGGCGCGAAGGCCAGGGGAGCAAACGGG
rnacentral:rRNA from 1 species